CUGCGCCACGAGUGGUGGUCGCGUUUAUUGGGUCUAAAGCGUCCGUAGCCUGUUUAGUAAAUCCUUUGUGAAAUCGUUUGGCUUAACCAAACGGCGUGCAGAGGAGACUGCUGAACUCGGGACCAGGAGGGGCCAGAGGUAUGCCUUGGGGAGCGGUAAAAUGCUAUAAUCCUUGGUAGACCACCUGUGGCGAAGGCGUCUGGCUAGAAUGGAUCCGACGGUGAGGGACGAAAGCUAGGGGAGCGAACCGGAUUAGAUACCCGAGUAGUCC
rnacentral:rRNA from 1 species